rnacentral:rRNA from 1 species
AGAGUUUGAUCCUGGCUCAGAUUGAACGCUGGCGGCAGGCCUAACACAUGCAAGUCGAGCGGUAGCACAGAGAGCUUGCUCUCGGGUGACGAGCGGCGGACGGGUGAGUAAUGUCUGGGAAACUGCCUGAUGGAGGGGGAUAACUACUGGAAACGGUAGCUAAUACCGCAUAAUGUCGCAAGACCAAAGUGGGGGACCUUCGGGCCUCAUGCCAUCGGAUGUGCCCAGAUGGGAUUAGCUAGUAGGUGGGGUAACGGCUCACCUAGGCGACGAUCCCUAGCUGGUCUGAGAGGAUGACCAGCCACACUGGAACUGAGACACGGUCCAGACUCCUAUGGGAGGCAGCAGUGGGGAAUAUUGCACAAUGGGCGCAAGCCUGAUGCAGCCAUGCCGCGUGUGUGAAGAAGGCCUUCGGGUUGUAAAGCACUUUCAGCGGGGAGGAAGGCGGUGAGGUUAAUAACCUCAUCGAUUGACGUUACCCGCAGAAGAAGCACCGGCUAACUCCGUGCCAGCAGCCGCGGUAAUACGGAGGGUGCAAGCGUUAAUCGGAAUUACUGGGCGUAAAGCGCACGCAGGCGGUCUGUCAAGUCGGAUGUGAAAUCCCCGGGCUCAACCUGGGAACUGCAUCUGAUACUGGCAAGCUUGAGUCUCGUAGAGGGGGGUAGAAUUCCAGGUGUAGCGGUGAAAUGCGUAGAGAUCUGGAGGAAUACCGGUGGCGAAGGCGGCCCCCUGGACAAAGACUGACGCUCAGGUGCGAAAGCGUGGGGAGCAAACAGGAUUAGAUACCCUGGUAGUCCACGCUGUAAACGAUGUCGAUUUAGAGGUUGUGGUCUUGAACCGUGGCUUCUGGAGCUAACGCGUUAAAUCGACCGCCUGGGGAGUACGGCCGCAAGGUUAAAACUCAAAUGAAUUGACGGGGGCCCGCACAAGCGGUGGAGCAUGUGGUUUAAUUCGAUGCAACGCGAAGAACCUUACCUACUCUUGACAUCCAGCGAAUCCUUUAGAGAUAGAGGAGUGCCUUCGGGAACGCUGAGACAGGUGGUGCAUGGUUGUCGUCAGCUCGUGUCGUGAGAUGUUGGGUUAAGUCCCGCAACGAGCGCAACCCUUAUUGUUAGUUGCUACCAUUUAGUUGAGCACUCUAGCGAGACUGCCCGGGUUAACCGGGAGGAAGGUGGGGAUGACGUCAAAUCAUCAUGCCCCUUAUGUCUAGGGCUACACACGUGCUACAAUGGCCGGUACAGAGAGACGCGAUACCGCGAAGUGGAGCAAAACUUUAAAACCGGUCUCAGUUCGGAUUGUAGGCUGAAACUCGCCUACAUGAAGCUGGAGUUACUAGUAAUCGCGAAUCAGCAUGUCGCGGUGAAUACGUUCCCGGGCCUUGCACACACCGCCCGUCA